GAGCAAGAUAUUAAGAGCACACGGUGGAUGCCUUGGCACUUGGAGCCGAUGAAGGACGCGGCAAGCUGCGAUAAGCCUCGGGUAGGUGCACACAACCGCUAAUCCGAGGGUGUCCGAAUGGGGAAACCCACGUGGGGUCAUGCCCACGUACCCCUGCCUGAACACAUAGGGCAGGUGGAGGCAACCGGGAGAACUGAAACAUCUCAGUACCCCGAGGAACAGAAAUCAACCGAGAUAGCCCUAGUAGUGGCGAGCGAACGGGCUACAGCCUAAACCCAUGUAUGUGUCAAGCCGACAGGCGUUGCUGCAUGAGGGGUUGUGGGAGUCACGAUCGCGCAACUGUCGAUGCGCGGCGGAGUUACAAAUUCGCGAGGUAGCAGAACGGCUUGGAACAGCCGGCCAUAGAGGGUAAAAGCCCCGUACAGCGAAACCCCUGCGAACUCCGUUAGUGACCACCCGAGUACUGCCGGACACGUGAAAUCCGGUAGGAAUCUGGGGGGACCACCCUCCAAGGCUAAAUACUCCCAAGUGACCGAUAGUGCACCAGUACCGUGAGGGAAAGGUGAAAAGCACCCCGAGAGGGGAGUGAAAUAGUACCUGAAACCGUGUGCUUACAAGCAGUCGGAGCCCGGAAAGCCACUCUUCGGAGGGGCAGGGUGACGGCGUGCCUUUUGUAGAAUGAGCCAGCGAGUUACUCGUACGUGGCAAGGUUAAGCUCAAAGCGAGCCGUAGCGAAAGCGAGUCUUUAAACGGGCGUUUGAGUCACGUGCGGUAGACGCGAAGCCAGGUGAUCUACCCAUGGGCAGGGUGAAGCGGGGGUAAGACCUCGUGGAGGCCCGAACCCACUUCGGUUGAAAACGGAGGGGAUGACCUGUGGGUCGGAGUGAAAGGCUAAUCAAACCUGGAGAUAUCUCGUUCUCCCCGAAAUAGCUUUAGGGCUAGCGUCGAUCGUUCAGUACCGGUGGUAGAGCACUGGAUGGCCUAGGGGGCUUCACCGCUUACCGAAGUCAACCAAACUCCGAAUGCCGGCACUCUAGAGAUCGGCAGUCAGACUGUGUGGGCUAAGCCGCAUAGUCGAAAGGGAAACAGCCCAGACCGCCAGCUAAGGUCCCCAAGUUAUAGCUAAGUGGCAAAGGAUGUGCGUUUGCUCAGACAACCAGUAUGUUGGCUUAGAAGCAGCCAUCAUUUAAAGAGUGCGUAAUAGCUCACUGGUCAAGUGGACAUGCGCCGACAAUACACGGGGCUCAAGCUAUACACCGAAGCUGCGGACUUCACGUAAGUGGAGUGGUAGGGGAGCAUUCUGUACGGGUCGAAGUCGGCGGGUGACCGUCGGUGGACUGUACAGAAGAGAGAAUGCUGGCAUGAGUAGCGAGAGAAACGCGAGAAACGUUUCCGCCGUAAGCCUAAGGGUUCCUGGGCAAGGCUAAUCCCCCCAGGGUCAGUCGGGAGCUAAGGCGAGGCCGUAAGGCGUAGUCGAUGCACAACAGGUAGAUAUUCCUGUACCACUGGUAGCGCGCUAAUACCGAUGGGGUGACGGAGAAGGGUAGCUGAGCCGGGCGUUGGUAGUCCCGGUGAAAGGGCGUAGGGAGUGUCGUAGGCAAAUCCGCGACACACAUAUCCUGAGACCUGAUGACGAGCCGAUCGAGGCAGAGUCAGUGAUCCCAUGCUUUCAAGAAAAACCUCUAGGGAGUUCUAUCGGUGCCCGUACCCCAAACCGACACAGGUAGGCAGGUAGAGAAUACCAAGGCGAUCGAGACAACUAUGGUUAAGGAACUCGGCAUAAUGGCUCCGUAACUUCGGGAGAAGGAGCACCCAGGAUGGUGAUCAACUUCGCGUUGUGAGCUUUCUUGGGGCGCAGUGAAACGGCCCAAGCGACUGUUUACUAAAAACACAGGACUCUGCUAAGUCGUAAGACGACGUAUAGGGUCUGACGCCUGCCCGGUGCUGGAAGGUUACGUGGAGGGGU
rnacentral:rRNA from 1 species